CAAGAGCGUAUGUAAAAGUUGUUGCAGUUAAAAAGCUCGUAGUUGAACCUUGGGUUUGGUUGGCCGGUCCGCUUUUUUGCGAGUACUGGAUUCAACCGAGCCUUUCCUUCUGGCUAACCAGUCGUUUCGGCGGCUGGCGAACCAGGAUUUUUACUUUGAGAAAAUUAGAGUGUUCAAAGCAGGCAUUAGCUUGAAUAUAUUAGCAUGGAAUAAUAGAAUAGGACGUUAUGGUUCUAUUUUGUUGGUUUCUAGGACCAUCGUAAUGAUUAAUAGGGACGGUCGGGGCAUCAGUAUUCAGUUGUCAGAGGUGAAAUUCUUGGAUUUACUGAAGACUAACUACUGCGAAAGCAUUUGCCAAGGACGUUUUCAUUAA
rnacentral:rRNA from 1 species